rfam:Myotis davidii contig121296, whole genome shotgun sequence.
GGCGGUUCUCAGGUGACACACCAGAAUCAGGUUCCCUCUUCUCUGGUUCCCGGUGCAUCACCCAAGAACCACA